rnacentral:rRNA from 1 species
GAGCGGCGGACGGGUGAGUAAUACUUAGGAAUCUACCUAGUAGUGGGGGAUAGCACGGGGAAACUCGUAUUAAUACCGCAUACGACCUACGGGAGAAAGGGGGCAGUUUACUGCUCUCGCUAUUAGAUGAGCCUAAGUCGGAUUAGCUAGAUGGUGGGGUAAAGGCCUACCAUGGCGACGAUCUGUAGCUGGUCUGAGAGGAUGAUCAGCCACACCGGGACUGAGACACGGCCCGGACUCCUACGGGAGGCAGCAGUGGGGAAUAUUGGACAAUGGGGGCAACCCUGAUCCAGCCAUGCCGCGUGUGUGAAGAAGGCCUUUUGGUUGUAAAGCACUUUAAGCAGUGAAGAAGACUCCGUGGUUAAUACCCACGGACGAUGACAUUAGCUGCAGAAUAAGCACCGGCUAACUCUGUGCCAGCAGCCGCGGUAAUACAGAGGGUGCAAGCGUUAAUCGGAAUUACUGGGCGUAAAGGGAGCGUAGGUGGCUCGAUAAGUCAAAUGUGAAAUCCCCGGGCUCAACCUGGGAACUGCAUCUGAUACUGGUGAGCUAGAGUAGGUGAGAAGGAGGUAGAAUUUCAGGUGUAUCGGUGAAA